rnacentral:rRNA from 1 species
UAUCCUACGGGAGGCAGCAGUGAGGAAUAUUGGUCAAUGGGCGGGAGCCUGAACCAGCCAAGUCGCGUGAGGGAUGACGGCCCUAUGGGUUGUAAACCUCUUUUGCCGGGGAGCAAAGUGCCGCACGUGUGCGGUUUGGAGAGUACCCGGAGAAAAAGCAUCGGCUAACUCCGUGCCAGCAGCCGCGGUAAUACGGAGGAUGCGAGCGUUAUCCGGAUUUAUUGGGUUUAAAGGGUGCGUAGGCGGUCCGUUAAGUCAGCGGUAAAAUUGCGGGGCUCAACCCCGUCGAGCCGUUGCAACUGGCA